UCGUUGAAUUAAGCUCCCAUGAAAGUUAUAAUAGUAUACUAUAAAUUUCAAUUUUUUGACGAGAAAACUGACAGAGGUAGAAUCUGCAUUUGAAAAAAUUGCUGCUUAAUGUAGAUUAUGUAGGCAAUAAUUUUUUGGCGUGACGUACCUACGGAUACUUGGUUACUGGUUGUUGGUCAAGAGGCUGACAAAUACGAAACCAUGGCUUUAAGGAGUGACAUGAAUUAUAUUAUGAAGGCUCGUGAAGGAGUGAUGAAAAGCAAAUUUUAUGUUAACCAGCUAAAAAAUCUUAUUCCAAUUGUGGAGCCCAAUCUUUAUGACUCGGAAUCCGCUGAUUGUGUACUCGAAUUUUUGGUCAUGACAGGUGGUGAUGACAAUGGUAACCACAAGCUUGGCUAAAAACUUGACUAUGGCAACCGAAGAGCGAGACUUUUAUCACUAGGCUGCAUGUGCCAUGAAGCCGUGGUAUGGUCCACAGCGGUUAUUACUUUCAUCGAUGGCAGAUACCAUCUUUGACAGAUUCAGCAAUGAUGAGUCAAGGAUAGUUAGCAAUGAUUGUUAGCAAUGGUUACCAUGCUUGGUACUGGUUAUCAAUUUUACAGGUAGUACAGAGUACAUGAAGGAAUUUGGUCCUGAGUAGAUGGAUUUUUUACUCCAUACCAGCGUUAUUGGCAGUGUUCUGGCUCUCUUAUGCCUAUUAGGUGAUCCCUCGAUCAUGAGAGCUGCUUUGUGUGUAGCUGGUGUUGUGGGAGGCAUGGAUGGAUUUUAUUUCAAGUGAAUUAAUAAAAGUUUCAGUUGUAU